GACGAACGCUGGCGGCGUGCUUAACACAUGCAAGUCGAACGUGAUUUUUGUGGAUAUUCUUUCGGGUCUGGUAAUGAAAUGAAAGUGGAGACCGGGUGAGUCACACGUGAGCAACCUACCUUACACAGGGGGCUAGCCGUUGGAAACGACGAUUAAUACCGCAUGAGACUGCAGAAUCGCAUGAUUUAGGGGUCAAAGAUUUAUCGGGGUAAGAAGGGCUCGCGUCUGAUUAGCUAGGUGGCAGGGUAAAGGCCUACCAAGGCGACGAUCAGUAGCCGGGCGGAGAGGAGGAACCGCCACAUUGGAACUGAGACACGGACCAAACUCCUACGGGAGGCAGCAGUGGGGAAUAUUGCACGAGGGGGGGAACCCUGAUGCAGCGACGCCGCGGGAGCGAAGAAGGUGUUCGAAUCGUAAAGCUCUGUCCUAUGAGAAGAGAAUGACGGUAACAGAUGAGGAAGCCCCGGCUAAAUACGUG
rnacentral:rRNA from 1 species